UACGGAGGGAGCUAGCGUUGUUCGGAAUUACUGGGCGUAAAGCGUGCGCAGGCGGUUUUGUAAAGCCAGAUGUGAAAUCCCCGGGCUUAACCUGGGAAUGGCAUUUGGGACUGCAAGGCUCGAGUGCGGCAGAGGAGACUGGAAUUCCUGGUGUAGCAGUGAAAUGCGUAGAUAUCAGGAGGAAUACCGAUGGCGAAGGCAGCUCGCUGGGACGUUACUGACGCUGAGACGCGAAAGCGUGGGGAGCAAACAGG
rnacentral:rRNA from 1 species